rnacentral:lncRNA from 15 species
CUACAGCAUGCCAUCCUCUUUGGAAACACACGCCACACAAAGACCUCAACCGAAGUCUGGUUUUUCUUAGAAAUAUUAGGGGUAUAUAUGUGUGUGUGUGUGUGUGUGUGUGUGUGUGUGUGUGUGUGUGUGUGUGUGUGUGUGUGUGGUGGGCAUGAGUUAGUCAAACAGAUUUUGGAUUUUGUAACAAAGCAGCAGCAGGUGGACUUGGGCACAGAGACAGAAGCAGAGUGUGUCAGUGCUGUACAGCUCUCAGCAGGAAGAUGAGCUCCAUCAAGAUAUGUUCCUAUUUUGUCAUUGUGACAGUGUUGUUGUGUGUAACCAGUUUGGUUGUAGCAGAUCCAGUGGGCCGGGUGAGUGAAGUUACCUUUGACCUUGAUCCUCAAAGCUUUUCUACUGUCCCAACAUAACCAACUCUCUCAUGACGCUCUCCGCAGAUCCCCCGUCAGACAGCAGCCAAACAACAAGGUAGUGUGUGUAUGAAUGUGUGUGUUUGAGAGUGACUAAUAGUGUGUAUGAAUUUAGGCACAUGUGGAAACAGUCAAAUGAACGUCAUAUUUUUUUAUUUGAUUGAGACAUGAAUCUGUGUCCCAGGGGGCGUCGUUCUUUUUUUCGUUUCCUUCCAGGGUAUCCUGAGAGAAAUCGAGUUCAACCCAAUCAUCUUCAAUCAGGUGUUGGUGAACCAGGGCUCCGCCUACAACAAUGACACAGGUGUGUUCACGGCACCGGUCGCUGGAAUCUACCAGUUCGUGUUUGCUGCUCAGCUCUGCCGCGGAGACCACAACAACUUGUGGAUCUUCAUGCUCAAGGGCUCCAAGGACAUGGCCUGCCAUGCUCAGGUUUCUGGUGGUGACACAACCCUGAACACCUGCUACCUCAUGGAGGAACUGAAGAAAGGUGACCAGGUGUGGGUAAAGCAGAAUGUGGGGAGUUGCGCCUGGGCCAGCACUCACUCCAAAACCAUCACCUUCUCUGGCGUCCUGUUGGCAAGUGAGGGUGUGUCCAUGCUUGGGGGGAAGUAUGGCUCCUGUCCACUGGCCAGCCUGAGCCACAAAAGGGAGAUGGUGUCCGGCUCUACAAGCCAGAGUGCCGCUUGGUCUAAUGUGGCCAUCACUCUGCUGCUCUGCUGUCUCCUCUGGGAUUAA